rnacentral:rRNA from 1 species
UACGGAGGGUGCAAGCGUUGUCCGGAUUUAUUGGGUUUAAAGGGUGCGUAGGCGGGAAUUUAAGUCAGCGGUGAAAGUUCAGGGCUCAACCCUGAAAUUGCCAUUGAUACUGGAUUUCUUGAGUGUCGAUGGGGUACAUGGAAUUUAUGGUGUAGCGGUGAAAUGCAUAGAUACCAUAAGGAACACCGAUAGCGAAGGCAUUGUACUUAUCGAUAACUGACGCUGAGGCACGAAAGCGUGGGUAGCGAACAGG